UGCAAGUCGAGCGGCAGCGCGUCUAGUUUACUAGAUGGCGGCGAGCGGCGGACGGCUGAGUAACGCGUGGGAACGUGCCCCAAAGUGAGGAAUAACUGCCCGAAAGGGUAGCUAAUGCCGCAUAUGAUCUUCGGAUUAAAGUCUUCGGACGCUUUGGGAGCGGCCCGCGUCGGAUUAGGUUGUUGGUAGGGUAAUGGCCUACCAAGCCGACGAUCCGUAGCUGGUCUGAGAGGAUGAUCAGCCAGACUGGAACUGAGACACGGUCCAGACUCCUACGGGAGGCAGCAGUGAGGAAUCUUCCACAAUGGGCGAAAGCCUGAUGGAGCAACGCCGCGUGAAGGAUGAAGGCCCUCGGGUUGUAAACUUCUUUUAUGAGUGAAGAAUAUGACGGUAACUCAUGAAUAAGCACCGGCUAACUACGUGCCAGCAGCCGCGGUCAUACGUAGGGUGCAAGCAUUAUCCGGAGUGACUGGGCGUAAAGAGUUGCGUAGGCGGUUAGUAAAGCGAAUAGUGAAACCUGGUGGCUCAACCAUACAGACUAUUAUUCGAACUCACUAACUCGAGAAUGGUAGAGGUAACUGGAAUUUCUAGUGUAGGAGUGAAAUCCGUAGAUAUUAGAAGGAACACCAAUGGCGUAGGCAGGUUACUGGACCAUUUCUGACGCUAAGGCACGAGAGCGUGGGGAGCGAACCGGAUUAGA
rnacentral:rRNA from 1 species